GCCAAUGUGGUGUAGUGGUUUAAGUGCUGGACUACAAUUCUAGAGAUCAGGUUUCAAUUCCCCGCUUGGUCA